rnacentral:rRNA from 1 species
AGAGUUUGAUCAUGGCUCAGAUUGAACGCUGGCGGCAGGCCUAACACAUGCAAGUCGAGCGGAAACGAUGGUAGCUUGCUACCAGGCGUCGAGCGGCGGACGGGUGAGUAACGCGUGAGAAUCUGCCCAUUUGUGGGGGAUAACUCGGGGAAACUCGAGCUAAUACCGCAUAAUCCCUACGGGGGAAAGCAGGGGACCUUCGGGCCUUGUGCAGAUGGAUGAGCUCGCGUCGGAUUAGCUUGUUGGUGAGGUAAAGGCUCACCAAGGCGACGAUCCGUAGCUGGUCUGAGAGGAUGAUCAGCCACACCGGGACUGAGACACGGCCCGGACUCCUACGGGAGGCAGCAGUGGGGAAUCUUGGACAAUGGGGGCAACCCUGAUCCAGCCAUGCCGCGUGUGUGAAGAAGGCCUUCGGGUUGUAAAGCACUUUCAGUAGGGAGGAAGGCUUACCGCUAAUAACGGUGAGUACUUGACGUUACCUACAGAAGAAGCACCGGCUAAUUUCGUGCCAGCAGCCGCGGUAAUACGAAAGGUGCGAGCGUUAAUCGGAAUUACUGGGCGUAAAGCGCGCGUAGGCGGUUUGCUAAGUCAGAUGUGAAAGCCCCGGGCUCAACCUGGGAAUUGCAUUUGAAACUGGCAGGCUAGAGUGCAGUAGAGGGAGGUGGAAUUUCCGGUGUAGCGGUGAAAUGCGUAGAGAUCGGAAGGAACACCAGUGGCGAAGGCGGCCUCCUGGACUGACACUGACGCUGAGGUGCGAAAGCG